CAGCCGCCACGGGAAUACAGAGGGUGCGAGCGUUAAUCGGAUUUACUGGGCGUAAAGCGUGCGUAGGCGGCUUUUUAAGUCGGAUGUGAAAUCCCUGAGCUUAACUUAGGAAUUGCAUUUGAUACUGGGAAGCUAGAGUAUGGGAGAGGAUGGUAGAAUUCCAGGUGUAGCGGUGAAAUGCGUAGAGAUCUGGAGGAAUACCGAUGGCGAAGGCAGCCAUCUGGCCUAAUACUGACGCUGAGGUACGAAAGCAUGGGGAGCAAACAGGAUUAGAUACCCCGGUAGUCCCUGUCUCUUAUAC
rnacentral:rRNA from 1 species